AUGCAUCGGAGCCGAGCCAGCCAUGUAGCCAUUGAAAAGAUAAAGAAGAUUAGGGCAUGCGUGCGCCCACGGCGGCGUUCGUGCGCCGGCCCGGAAUUUCUUGUCUUGUGUCUUCUUCUACCUCUAGCCGAGAGUGAGGGAGGGCUGCGGUUCCAACAGAUACAAGCAAAAGAACUAUGUGCACAAUAUGGUUUUUGCAUGUAUUCACUUAGCAAGGACCAGGCGAUCAGCUGGGACACAGAUGCAAGGAGGGAAAAUAUCCCGUGCUCCGAAGGAUCUGGUGCUCCACUCGGCUGGGCGGCGCGGGAGCCUUGGUGA
rnacentral:rRNA from 1 species